CCUACGGGUGGCUGCAGUGGGGAAUAUUGGGCAAUGGAGGAAACUCUGACCCAGCAACGCCGCGUGAAUGAUGAAGGUCCUCGGAUUGUAAAGUUUCUUUUAUAGGGAAGUAGAAAGUGACGGUACUUCAGGUAUAAGUCUCGUCUAACUAUGUGCCAGCAGCCGCGGCAAUACGGAGGAGGCGAGCGUUAUCCGGAUGGACUGGUUUUAAAGGGUGAGUAGGUGGGUUGGUAAGUUAGUGGUGUAAGUUUGUGGGUGAACCGGAAAAGUGAAACGAAUACUGGCGGCCUUGAGUACAGGUGAGGUAGGCGGAAUUCGUGGUGGAGCGGUGAAAGGCUGAGAUAGCACGAAGAACGACGAGUGAGAAGGCAGAGGAAUAAAAGGCCACGGAAAUUGAUGCUCGAAAGUGGGGGUAUCAAACAGGAUUAGAUACCCGUGUAGUC
rnacentral:rRNA from 1 species